rnacentral:lncRNA from 1 species
UGUGAUGAAAAAGUGACUGGUUCGCGCGCUCCACUGCACCUCCUAUUUCAUCAUCAGCGGAGCUUUUCUCCCCUUCACUGUGCGCUUGCUGUCUCCUCCUCUCUCUCUCUCUCUCUCUCUCUCUCUCCUUUUUCCCUCUCUGUUUCGGUUGCUCCCCUCUUUCUGCUCCAGCCACAUGCAAGGGGGAGACUUAAGCUCUGCGAGGGAAAAAAAAAAAGUCUGCUGCUAUUUCUACAGUCAGGGCCUCCCCACAGCCCGCCCUUCCACAGACGGAGCUUUUUUUUUUCACUCACUACUAGCUGGAUUUUAACCCUCUGCCUCCAACUAGCUGCACAGCAAGCAGCUCUGCAAAACCUGGCAACAAGUUGCUUUUUAGGGGCCUUGACUUACUUUUGGCGCAUUCGUUUUUGCAUCACUUUGGAUUUUGCUUUUUUCUUUUGUUUUUUAAUAUUUUCUUUUGUAAAAAUCCUCCACGUCUUGCUAUUUUUUUUCCUCCGCUGAUGGGUUUUUAUAACAGUAUUUAUUUGGUUUCUCUCGCUUCUUUUUUUUUUUUUUUGGAUGGAAAUGUGUCAUGUGAUGGGCCUUGUUCCACCUGGAGUCCCAGGGCGCCAUUUCUGACCGGGGUAACCUGCUUGUGUGGUGGGCUUGUGGUUUUGGAUAACACUGUGGAUGACAAUCAAGAGACUGUGCAGUGUCUGAGCAUGAGAUGUGGAUGGAAGUGGGAAGAGAUGCCGAAAUUUUGCAUCCCGACCGGACGUUCACCAUCUUUGCCUGCAAAAAGAAUCAGCGGUAUGAUGGGGUUACAGCCACAGGCACAAACAAGUGAAAUCAUGGACAGACAGACUGGCGAUCACAGCAUCAUUAAAUGUCCCUCUCGUGGUUUUUGCAGACGGAGGCUACCUGACAUGUUGCUACAACCAUGAUGGAGGGAGGAGACCAUACGCCUGUGCCCCCCCCCUCUCUUCCCCUCCCCUUUUUGCCGCAUGUUACAGAGCAGGUGAGAAACAUUAACAGAGGCAGCAGCUGCGACCCUCUGCUCCACACAUGUGGGCCAGAAUAUGAGCUCGCCCACUCUCAACACUGGUCAGUAAUGUUAACACUCUCCUCUCAGAACCACGGAGAGCUGUGUUAAGCACCUGGAAACAGCACAGAUUGUUAUCGAUCAAUCUCAGUUUCAUUGUUUCCAAUAAUGAUCUAUAAACAUCAAAGUUAUUCAUUAAUAAAACAAAGAAUUUUCUCA